GGCUACAAUAGCUGUCUGAACAUCUGCAAUACAUGGAACUAUCAAUACCCCAGUUUACAUGCAAUAGAUGUAGUGAAUUUGAAAUCCAUCACCCUCCAGGCAGACAAUUAAUUAAUAAGCUUAAGCACCAUUUUGAUUGUAAAGAACUCCAAACAGCCAAAUCAAUGUUAGGAAUGAAUAGCGAUUGCGUAAGAUGUACUAGUAUUGCUUAAUGUUGAACCUUUUUAUAGCUAGAGAGGACUGUCAAUUCCUUUUGCUUAGAGUAACUAGUUUACUCAAAAGUCAAAUUAGUACUAAAUGUUAGUUUCUGAUGCUUGCAAGUUGUUACACAUUCUGUUAUUCAUUCCUAGAAUCCAGCCGGCCAAAUCAGUGUACGAAAGAUGCUUGAACUAUAUUUAUUAAAAUGAGUAAUUGAAUACAAGAAGUAACUUCCAAAUCUCCAGUCAAUAGUCAAUUCCUUCCCUUGCUCUACUUCUCUUCAAUUUUCCUAGUCUCGCAUUUUCCCAUUUAACACACUCUUCAAUGAGUAUGGGACCAAAGAGGAAUGAUAGUUAUACAGACCUACAACUAUGCCAAAAAGUAAAGGAAGAUAAAUGUCAGACUAUUUCCUUUCCCCCUUAGUGGCUUGUAGCAGGGUGAUGGGAAAUAAGUGUUUGCGAUUUUCUUCCUUUAAAUUUUGGCAGAGAUAGAACCCAAUAUGAGCACUGAAAAAAAUAGCUUUUCCCCAAUUUGCCUAAACGUCAUACAGUACAUUAGGAAAACAAUGUAGACAUGUUGAAAAUGAUAUUCCUCCAUGAAAAAAGAUUUCUUUUUCAGAUUAAGGAAAAAGCUUUAUCUUGACAAAUCCAGCAGCCAAAAUCAUGCCUUAAAUGAAAACUGAAGUGCAAAUAUAAUAGUCCUCUAAUAUGUGUGGAACAAAUGUUAAAUGUUAAUUGAUACUGGCUACUAAAUGGGACACCUUCCGAACAAUACUUUCUAACAACAAAAAAAUCUAUUAUAUCCCAAUAUCCCUUAACACAGAAUAUAGGGAAGUUUUCAAUUAGUACCAGGGUAUUGAAUCAAAGCGUGA
rnacentral:misc_RNA from 1 species